GAAAGACUUUUGAGAUGGACUUUUGAAAGAGUGUUUGAGGGAACUGUUAAUGCUGGCUGUACUGACCUGCAGAAGAUGGUGCAACUGGGUCUGAAAGGUGGACACUGCUGCCUCCGGACCGCUGUCAAAGCAAGAAUAUCACCGUGAAGCAGGCUGAAAGAAAUGCUCUGAAGGGAAAGCUAAGACAUUUUGAUGAGGACUAUGUUUCUUUCUGCUAUAAGGAAAAGCCGUGGAAACACACCCGGAUUGAAAUGCCCCUGGCCCGCCUGACCCGACCCUAGGAGAAGCAGCCGAGUUACCCGACAUCGUGGUCAGCAGGAGCUGGGUCGGUGGCUGGAUGCUGCAGCAGCAGGGACUCAGCGCCUGGGAGGGCUCCUGGGGCAGGGAGAGAAGCAGAGAUGCAACAUUUUUAAAAUUUCACAAAGCAUCCGGCUGCACCCAGGUCCCUGGAACAGGAGACAAACAGAAUUAAUGUUUUAUACCUUCGGGUAUAGGUUUGAGUUUUUUCCCCCUCAUGCCAAGUAUUUAAAACCUCUAGAAACCCAUGAUUUGACAAUCAAUGAUUGCGCGAUACUUUCAAUUUGAAUAUUCAAAGGCUUAACAAAAUGGACUAUCUUCUGCAGAAAUCCUGCACACAGGCACCCCACAGAGAGUCCAGAGAAACAGGGAGUGAGACCCCUUUGGGUCCUGGCCCUUGCUUUUAUUAUAGUUUGAGCAUUUUGUCCUCCUUCCCACAGAUAGAGCAGAUGUCCUCAAAGAUGCUCUGUAUUUCAGCCUUCAGGGCAGCUAAGAAGCCAUGAGUGACUUAGGCUGCCCUGGCCAUGAACACCGGAGCCAGACUGGCUGGCCAGACUGAUUCCCGCAUCCCCCAUCUGUGUUUUGAGGGGAAAUCUCAGGUUUUGAGGAAUGAACAUGGCAGCUAGUGGGUGUGGCACAGCAAGAAGUCGCUCUGGGCCCAGGUGGCAGGCCAGCGGCCUAGCAGAGGCCUUCGCUCUGCACCUCCUAUUUUUCUGGCUCCGCCUGGCUACCAGCGGGCUUCCCUCCCCCUUUCAUCCCGCUCUUCCUGGGCCCGACACUGGGGUUUCUGCUCAGAAUGACUGCCCAUUAAGACCCUUUCCUCCUCCCCACAGAGCUGGGGAUGCCAGGAGCCUCAUCCUCUGGAGACUUUCUGACUCUGGGUUUCACCACCGCACUGCGAAGUGCCCUCUUUGCUUUUUCGCCUUCUAGAGCCACCCCUGCCUUUUUGCUGUAGGAGCACAUGUUAGGAAACAAUGACAAGUUUGGCUCCUGCUCAUUUUAACUGAAAGGAUGUGGACUUAGGUUCAAGCCUUCUCCCAUUGGGGUGAGAAGGGGGAGGGACUUGGGAUCAGGCUUCCCCCUUGGUCCAGGCCCAAGCCCCUCACUAAUGACUUGGGAUUCUACUGGGUCAUCUUCUGUGAGUACUUACUGUGCCUCUUCCAUGUGAUUUGGAAGGUGAGGAGACAGGAAUGGUCCACAGAGGGAGAGAGUGCCAGGCCAAGUCCUCUCAUAGCCACCCGCCCCCUCCACAGAAGGGGACAGCAAGAGAAGAGAGAGGCAUGGUGAGGUUCCUUUUGCAAAUAACCAAGAUAUUUCCAGGAUUCAAGACCAGUCCAUGGUUUUAGGCCUCUGCUGUUUAUUCUCUGAGUUCUCAGAAAUGCAAAAAGUGUAGUUUAGCCCCAGAGGCCUCAAGAAAAAGAUUGGGGUGCCCCCAAAUGUGUCAAAUACAGAGGGAAACACACAGAGCUUAGGGAAAGGGCAACUGAGAAUGACAAGACUGAUAGGAAUUGCUUGGCAGCUGAAGCCACAUCUCUGGGGGAGAGGAGCAGGCCUGGGAACACCUGAGGUGGCACCUGGCAGUGGAGGGCAGGAUGGAUGUAUUGAAAUCUGACAGCUUCUGGAACUUCUUUCUACAAAUGCCCCUGAGCCUGUGUCCUAGGUUUCCCUGAUGGACCAGACCUGAGGAGGGGAAGGACAAUGGGGGUGGAGAUGGCACCUCCCCUCCCUGCAUGCCUUCUUCCUCGCUGUGCCUAGGCCUUGCCCCCUCUGAAGGAACAGUGAACCAAGCAGCUUGGAAUCUAGGGAUGGUCUCUUGUCCUCAUAGCGUCUUCCAUUACUUCUUUUCUUCGCUGCUCUCCUCCUUUUUGUUAUACUCUUAUUUUUUGAUUUGCUUUUAAAAACCUUCUUUGUUGCAUUUUUGUUUAUUUCUUUCUGUGUUUCUUUGUCUCUCUUCCUGUCAUUGCUUUCUUCCAUUUCUUAUCUGUACUACUGGUUUUCUCCCUGGCUUCACGUGUCUCUGUGUUCCCCUAUGCUGGGGUGUCCUCCCAGUGCUUUCAGGCUUCAUCUCCUUCCUAACCUCUCCUUUCUAUUUUUUUUUUUUUUUUUUUUGAGAUGGAGUCUUGCUCAGUCGCCCAGGCUGGAGUGCUAACCUCUCCUUUCAUGUGGAGAUGGACAGGGAUGGCAGGAGCACUGAGUGCUCUUGACAACACCAUUGAAGAUGAUGCUGACGAUCAGCUACCCUGUGGAGAAGGCAGGCCAGGCUGGGUGAGAGGGGAGCUCCUUGGAAGUCAGGGGGUCUGUAAGGACAGCAAGGAUCUCUUUGUCCCAACCUCCAGCAGCCUUUAUGGGUGCUUCUGUGUUGGCCUUGUUUCUGGGAUGGCCAUCUCAGUGCUGUUGCUGGCUAGCGAUUUCAGAAAACUAGAUUUUUCUAGGCCUGAGCCCUGUUUUGAGAAAGAAGCUUCCCUCUGGUUUGUAGCUCAACAUUAAUGAGUUUUGGUUCCUGUUGUUUCUAUAAUUACAAAACCCCAGCACAGGUAUUUAAGAGCCAAAGGCCAUGCUUGUGGAAGUAAGGGAGGAUCUUUCUAAAUGGAUCCUGCAAAUCCUCCUUACAGAUCUGAGUGGAUGAUCAGGCCCAGAGCAACCCUGAGACCCCAGGUACCCACAGCAUUGGCUGUUCUUCAUAGGAGACUCAGAGAAGACUUCAUAGGAGACUCAUUAUUGUUUACUGGACAUCAGGUGCUAUAUUGUAUAGCAUUCACAUUCCACAGGUGAGGAAACAGGCUCAGAGGAAUAAGUGGCAUGCCAAGAUCACUGAGUAUAUCAGUAGCAGAAUUAGGAUUCAGACUUUGUUAGGCCUAACUCCAAAGCCCUGGCUUUUUUUUUUUUUGAGAUGGAAUCUUACUCUGUCACCGGGCUGGAGUGCAGUGGCAUGAUCUCAGCUCACUGCAAUCUCUGCCUCCUGGGUUCAAGUGAUUCCCCUGCCUUAGCCUCCUGAGUAGCUGGGACUACAGGCAUGCACCACCACGCCCAGCUAAUUUUUGUGUUUUUAGUAGAGAGGAGGUUUCACCGUGUUGGCCAGGAUGGUCUCAAUCUCUUGACCUUGUGAUCUGCCUGCCUCGGCCUCCCAAAGUACUGGGAUUAUAGGCAUGAGCCACCAUGCCCGGCCUUUGCUCUUAACUACUGAUGUUGUCUUCCUGAUCUUUUCUACAAGAAGCUUUUAAACUUUUUGGACUUUAACCUACAAUAAGAAAUCCAUUUUACAUGUUCACAUGUAUCUAUAACAACAUUUAUAUUUCUAAAACAAACUUUUCAUGAAACAAGAUAUACCUACAUAUGUCAGGCACUCUGAUAUUUUCUAUUCUAGUCCACCUUUUCCAUUUCAUUCUAUUUAUGGGAAAUAUAUGUUGGUUGGGAGUCACUGAGUUAAUUUAAUGACCCACUAAUAGGCUGUGAGUGGCAUUGGAAAAAUACCUGCUUGUAAGAUAUGCGAACACACGUUUCAAGGUUGUUUGUGCAUGUGGAAAUAUUUUGGGGUGCUAUCUGUUUUACCAUCAGUUUGUACAAGGACACUAAGACAGUGUAGCCUGCUGACUUGAGAAUGUUCUGUAAGGACUGGAAACACUAGAAUCUUGAAGAAACGCCUGGCUAGAGGUGAGGGUAAGCUGUUAAUUACACUGAUUACAGUUUGUGCCUCUCAGACUGAGAACUCUUUUCUUCUUGCUGGGGGCAUUGCUAUCUCUAGGAUGUUUGCCCUGAAGUCCUGAUAGUCUCUUUGGGGUUUUAAUAAAUGGCUGAAAAAAUUGUUGUGGGGUUUCAACAGGCGUUCAUAGGCACCCUUGCUUGGCAAUAUAACAUGGCUUUUGAUGUUUGGGUGUUGGAAGGGAUCUUUGAAGUGCUGAGAGGGACUCAGUCUUUUUCCAAAAUCUCUGCUUGUGUCUGUCCAGCCUCUGGCUCCACUGCUUGGCUGAGAUCCUGGCCCAUAGUAGAAUCUGUGUAGAGGAAACGAGAGCUCACUAUUUGUGAGGCAGCCUGUUCCACUAUUGGACUGCUUUAAAUGUAGUGAUCAGUGAUUAUGCUAUAAUCCAAUCAUGUAUUAAUUGGGCACCAACUAUGCACUAGGCAUGGUAUCAAGUACCAGGAGUACAAAAAUAAGUAAACCUUGAUUUCUGCUAUCAAUUACUCUCUUCUCCUACUUCUGUACUACUGCUUUUCUAUUGUGAGUUUGUUUAGUUCAUUAAUUGGUUUAUUCAUUCAUUCAACAAUCAUAUACUGAUUAGCUACUCUGACCAGGUCCAGUACUAACUCUGAAGAAGUUAUGCCCAUCCCAUCUUCACCCCAAGCCUUCUCCUUUUGAGACUCCUCAUCCAGUUUCUUUAGUUCUUCAUAUAUCACUGUUUUUCAGAUCUCUGGCUAUCCUUGCCAUUGACCUCAGAAAUCCUGUAUUUGACCUUAACCUUCUUAUACCCAGUCCAUACCCAAAGUGAUGGAAAUGGAAUAGAUUUCUUUUUAAAGUUUUAAACGAAUAUUUUGACUGAAAAAUUUUGGCAGUCUUGUAUGCAAAUGACACUGCAGAGCAUUGUUUUCUCCCCCCCACGUAGGAGAUUUUAUUCAACUAAGGCACAGGCAUAUUAAAAGACUUUCAGUAUAAGGAAAAGGGGUAGUUUAUUCCCUCCAAAUUUGACUACAGCUCGAAAUUGUCUUUAUUAAUGCAAAGUUCUUUUGUCACCUUGACUUUGGGACACUGUUACCAAACCUCGUGGGAAAUAUCAAGUUCCAGAAGAUUGAAUACAUGCAGGAAACAAAUGUUUUUUGGGCCCUAGAGUGAACAUUUGGUCCAUAUGAAAAUGACCAGGAAGACAAUUAGGUGAAGGUUUUUUAAUGAUUUGUGCUACGUCAGUCUCUUCCCAUAAGACAUAUUCAAAGUUUUAACUUUUCCUUAAGAGGCUUCCAUGGGGAGCAAGCAUUUGAUAAUUCAUCCUUUAAGAAAAACACCACCGUACACUGCUUGAAGAGUUCCUCUUCUAUUACUUAAAACGUUUUUAUUGUGCAACAUUUAAGGCAUACAAAAACAUAUAAAGAAUACCAUGAUGAAAAUCUAUGACUGUAUUACCAAGCUUAAGAAAUAAAACAGUUGAGUGAUCUCUCAUUUAUGACUAAAUUAACUUAUUAAAACCAUUAAAACUUUUGGAUUAUUCCUGUUAA
rnacentral:lncRNA from 1 species